UGGUGACUGCUUAGUUUAUCAAUUUGUUCCAAAACCUCCUCUAAUGACACCUCAAUCUGGGAUAGUUCCUCAGAUUAGUCACCUAAAAAGACUGGCUUAGGUUUGGGAAUCUCUCUCACAUCCUCAAUCU